rnacentral:rRNA from 1 species
AUUGAACGCUAGCGGCAUGCUUAACACAUGCAAGUCGAACGAGUGGCGGACGGGUGAGUAAUAUAUCGGAACGUGCCCGGUAGCGGGGGAUAACUACUCGAAAGAGUGGCUAAUACCGCAUACUAUUGGAGCGGCCGAUAUCGGAUUAGCUAGUUGGUGGGGUAAAGGCUCACCAAGGCGACGAUCCGUAGCUGGUUUGAGAGGACGACCAGCCACACUGGGACUGAGACACGGCCCAGACUCCUACGGGAGGCAGCAGUGGGGAAUUUUGGACAAUGGGGGAAAGCCUGAUCCAGCCAUCCCGCGUGUAUGAGAAGGCCUUCGGGUUGUAAAGUACUUUUGGCAGAGAAGCGGUAUCUGCAGAAUAAGCACCGGCUAACUACGUGCCAGCAGCCGCGGUAAUUC